GGAACAUUUGACUUGGGCUUGACCUUCCCACUGGGAGGUGGGGGCUGUGGGGCAGAGCAGGGGAUUCAUCAGCAAAGAGAUGUUUGACAGUGUGUUCACAAUACUAGAAUUGAACUUGAAAUGGGUCUGCAAUCCUUUCUACCAUUUCUUCCAUUUUUCCUUUCAUAAAGAGGGUGAAACGACUCUCACAAACCCAGAGGCAAGUACUGGGAUGGGGGAAGAAUUACCAUGCACAGAUCCUGCCUGUAAGGAAAGAACAAUCUGGAGAGAGGUCAGAGAGAGUCAUCCCUCCGUUCAUUCUUUUAUGUUCUGGUUCUACCCUCAUCUGGAAAGAAUGAAGGCAGCAAAGCGCUAUGGUUGUCUAAUGCAAACCAUUCGUGUAGAAGGAAAACGGGACGUGAUUCACAUGGACUUUCCAGCUUCUUUUUUAAGAGGCCUGCUGUCAAUAAAGUGAAGGCAUUUUGCAGAAAAGGGACGUUUCUGGUCAGGCUGGAUUCAUUCUCCCUCAACCACCUCUGACUUCCUUGGGAAGCAGGGUCUGAUCCAUUCUUGGUUCCCUGCAGAUGAGCUAUGUAUGUGUAUAAAAGGUCAGGAGUUUUAGAAAUUCCAAGUGUGUGAGUUUGACAUCAUCUUGAUUUCUUACAAGCCAUGGGCCAAGAUGCAAUAAUGUAUUUCAUACACCAAAGAACACAAACAUUUAACAGUUAUCAUAUUUUAGUGGAGUGUAAGCUCCUUGAGGGCAGACAUGUUUAUGAUUAGUUUGACCUCCCAGACCUAGCACAGCCCCCCAGGAGGCAGAUGCAGAGUUUUAUCUCAACACCCCUUCCAGCCUCUCAUCCCUCCAUGUAUCCUCUGCCUCAACCAUCCUUGGACUGCCACUCUUCUGCCACAGGACCUUUGCACAUACCUUCCUUAAGCCUGGCGUGUCCUCCCUCCCUCACUUACCUAGUUAACCUCUAUAACUUCUGAGCUCUCAGCUCAGACAUCACAUCUUCAGAGAAGUCAGCCUCCCUAAUUAGGCCAGUUUCUGCAAGACAGAUUCUCAUUCCAGGCUGUAACCUUCCUUGUUGAAUCUGCCACGGUUGUCAUUUUGUGCUUUUUCACGUGCCUCUUUGAUGACUGUCUGUCUCCCUCUCCACUUUGCCAAG
rnacentral:lncRNA from 1 species